rnacentral:rRNA from 1 species
GACGAACGCUGGCGGCGUGCUUAUCACAUGCAAGUCGAACGGAAAGGCCUCUUUCGGGGGGUACUCGAGUGGCGAACGGGUGAGUAACACGUGAGUAACCUGCCCUUGACUUUGGGAUAACUUCAGGAAACUGGGGCUAAUACCGGAUAGGAGCUCCUGCUGCAUGGUGGGGGUUGGAAAGUUUCGGCGGUUGGGGAUGGACUCGCGGCUUAUCAGCUUGUUGGUGGGGUAGUGGCUUACCAAGGCUUUGACGGGUAGCCGGCCUGAGAGGGUGACCGGCCACAUUGGGACUGAGAUACGGCCCAGACUCCUACGGGAGGCAGCAGUGGGGAAUAUUGCACAAGGGGUGGAAGCCUGAUGCAGCAACGCCGUGUGCGGGAUGACGGACUUCGGGUUGUAAACCGCUUUCGCUCAUGACGAAGCUUUGUGUGACGGUAGUGGGUAAAGAAGCACCGGCUAACUACGUG